UGGGGAAUAUUGGACAAUGGGCGAAAGCCUGAUCCAGCCAUGCCGCGUGUGUGAAGAAGGUCUUCGGAUUGUAAAGCACUUUACGUUGGGAGGAAGGGCAGUAAGCGAAUACCUUGCUGUUUUGACGUUACCGACAGAAUAAGCACCGGCUAACUCUGUGCCAGCAGCCGCGGUAAUACAGAGGGUGCAAGCGUUAAUCGGAAUUACUGGGCGUAAAGCGCGCGUAGGUGGUUCGUUAAGUUGAAUGUGAAAGCCCCGGGCUCAACCUGGGAACUGCAUCCAAAACGGGCGAGCUAGAGUAGGGCAGAGGGUGGUGGAAUUUCCUGUGUAGCGGUGAAAUGCGUAGAUAUAGGAAGGAACACCAGUGGCGAAGGCGACCACCUGGGCGCAUACUGACACUGAGGUGCGAAAGCGUGGGAGCAAACAGG
rnacentral:rRNA from 1 species